rnacentral:rRNA from 1 species
UACGGAGGGUGCAAACGUUGCUCGGAAUCAUUGGGCGUAAAGCGCACGUAGGCGGUCUGUUAUGUCGGAUGUGAAAGCCCUUGGCUCAACUGAGGAAGUGCAUCCGAAACUGGCAGGCUAGAGUACUAAAGAGGGUCGCGGAAUUCCCGGUGUAGAGGUGAAAUUCGUAGAUAUCGGGAGGAACACCGGUGGCGAAGGCGGCGACCUGGGUAGAUACUGACGCUGAGGUGCGAAAGCGUGGGGAGCAAACAGG